GAGUUUGAUCAUGGCUCAGAUUGAACGCUGGCGGCAUGCCUAACACAUGCAAGUCGAACGGGAGUAGCAAUACUCUAGUGGCGGACGGGUGAGGAAUACGUAGGAAUUUGCCCUUAAGUGGGGGAUAACCCGGGGAAACCCGGAUUAAUACCGCAUGAUCUCGAAAGAGCAAAGUGGGGGAUCGCAAGACCUCACGCUUUUGGAGAAGCCUACGUCGGAUUAGCUAGUUGGUGAGGUAAUGGCUCACCAAGGCGCCGAUCCGUAACUGGUCUGAGAGGAUGAUCAGUCACACCGGAACUGAGACACGGUCCGGACUCCUACGGGAGGCAGCAGUGGGGAAUAUUGGACAAUGGGCGAAAGCCUGAUCCAGCAAUGCCGCGUGUGUGAAGAAGGCCUUCGGGUUGUAAAGCACUUUAAGUUGGGAAGAAAAAAUUCCACCUAAUACGUGGAGUCUUGACGGUACCGACAGAAUAAGCACCGGCUAACUCUGUGCCAGCAGCCGCGGUAAUACG
rnacentral:rRNA from 1 species